GAACUAUUAUCUUUAAUUUGUGGAAUGAAGGAGUAACGCCCUGAAACACAUACCUAAUACUACGACAUGCAAAAUGAAUGGUAAAAUUCAGAAUGUAUGAAGCUCGUUGAAGUCGGCAGAAGCUACCUAAGUCAAUGAAAAAUAGGAGUAGGAAUUGGUUAAAAAAUGUACUAGAGUACGCCCGUUUCAAAACUAUUAAGUAAGAGAUAUGGUACGUAAUAUGUCGGGGUUCUAUAAA
rnacentral:ncRNA from 1 species